AAUGAAAUGCCUGAAUAAAGGGUUAUCGUGAUAGGAUAAAUAAUGUAUAAUCAUAUACUUUCAUUA
rnacentral:tRNA from 1 species